ensembl:misc_RNA
AUGCCCAUCGGGGCCUCGGAAUCUGUACUUCUUUUA